rnacentral:rRNA from 1 species
AUUGAACGCUGGCGGCAGGCCUAACACAUGCAAGUCGAACGAGUGGCGGACGGGUGAGUAAUGUCUGGGAAACUGCCCGAUGGAGGGGGAUAACUACUGGAAACGGUAGCUAAUACCGCAUACCAUCGGAUGUGCCUAGAUGGGAUUGGCUGGUGGGUGGGGUAACGGCUCACCUGGGCGACGAUCCCUAGCUGGUCUGAGAGGAUGACCGGCCACACUGGAACUGAGACACGGUCCAGCCUCCUACGGGAGGCAGAAGUGGGGAAUAUUGCACAAUGGGCGCAAGCCUGAUGCAGCCAUGCGGCGUGUAUGAAGAAGGCCUUCGGGUUGUAAAGUACUUUCAGCGAGGAGACGUUACUCGCAGAAGAAGCAACGGCUAACUCCGUGCCAGCAGCCGCGGUAAUAC